AGAGUUUGAUCCUGGCUCAGGAUGAACGCUGACAGAAUGCUUAACACAUGCAAGUCUACUUGAUCCUUCGGGUGAUGGUGGCGGACGGGUGAGUAACGCGUAAAGGACUUGCCUUGCAGUCUGGGACAACGUCUGGAAACGGACGCUAAUACCGGAUAUUAUGAUUGGAUCGCAUGAUUUGAUUAUGAAGGCUAUAUGCGCUGCGAGAGAGCUUUGCGUCCCAUUAGUUAGUUGGUGAGGUAACGGCUCACCAAGACGAUGAUGGGUAGCCGGCCUGAGAGGGUGAACGGCCACAAGGGGACUGAGACACGGCCCUUACUCCUACGGGAGGCAGCAGUGGGGAAUAUUGGACAAUGGACCAAAAGUCUGAUCCAGCAAUUCUGUGUGCACGAUGAAGUUUUUCGGAAUGUAAAGUGCUUUCAGUUGGGAAGAAGAAAGUGACGGUACCAACAGAAGAAGCGACGGCUAAAUACGUGCCAGCAGCCGCGGUAAUACGUAUGUCGCAAGCGUUAUCCGGAUUUAUUGGGCGUAAAGCGCGUCUAGGCGGUUUGGUAAGUCUGAUGUGAAAAUGCGGGGCUCAACUCCGUAUUGCGUUGGAAACUGCCAAACUAGAGUACUGGAGAGGUAGGCGGAACUACAAGUGUAGAGGUGAAAUUCGUAGAUAUUUGUAGGAAUGCCGAUGGGGAAGCCAGCCUACUGGACAGAUACUGACGCUAAAGCGCGAAAGCGUGGGUAGCAAACAGGAUUAGAUACCCUGGUAGUCCACGCAGUAAACGAUGAUUACUAGGAGUUUGCGAUAAAAUGUAAGCUCUACAGCGAAAGCGUUAAAUAAUCCCACCUGGGGAGUACGCCGGGCAACGGGUGAAACUCAAAAGGAAUUGACGGGGGGCCCCGCCCAAAGCGGAGGGAACAUGUGGUUUAAUUCGAAUGAUACGCGAGGAACCUUACCCGGGUUUUGAACGCACAGCGACGAAUCAGGAAACUGAUUUUCUAGCAAUAGCGAUGUGCGAGGUGCUGCAUGGUUGUCGUCAGCUCGUGCCGUGAGGUGUCGGCUUAAGUGCCAUAACGAGCGCAACCCUUGCCGUUAGUUACUAACAAGUAGUGUUGAGGACUCUAGCGGGACUGCCAGCGUAAGCUGUGAGGAAGGCGGGGAUGACGUCAAAUCAGCACGGCCCUUACAUCCGGGGCGACACACGUGUUACAAUGGCGUGGACAAAGAGCAGCCACUUGGCGACAAGGAGCUAAUCUCCAAACCACGUCUCAGUUCGGAUCGGAGUCUGCAACCCGACUCCGUGAAGCUGGAUUCGCUAGUAAUCGCGCAUCAGAAUGUCGCGGUGAAUACGUUCCCGGGUCCUGCACACACCGCCCGUCA
rnacentral:rRNA from 1 species